rnacentral:rRNA from 1 species
AGGUGGGGACGACGUCAAAAUCAUCAUGCCCCUUAUGACCUGGGCUACACACGUGCUACAAUGGNCGGUACAAAGAGUCAGACAAGACCGNGAGGUUUAGCUAAUCUCUAAAAGCCGUUCUCAUUCGGAUUGUAGGCUGCAACUCGCCUACAUGAAGUCGGAAUCGCUAUUAAUCGCGAAUCACACAUGUCGCGGUGAAUACGUUCCCGGGUCUUGUACACAACCGGG